rnacentral:rRNA from 1 species
AUUGAACGCUGGCGGCAGGCCUAACACAUGCAAGUCGAACGGUAGCAGGGAACUGGCUCCUGUUUCCCGGGGGGGAGGGGGGCGGGAUGGUUAUGUCUCUGCCACUUAGUGGUGGAGAGCGUCCGGAACUGGGCACUGUUACUGCAACCGCACAAAGGCGCAAGGUGAGGGAGCUUGGGAUCUCACGCUAUCACCUGAGCCUAGGUCGGAUUAGCUAGUUGGUGGGGUAAGGGCCUACCAAGGCGACGAUCCGUAACUGGUCUGAGAGGAUGAUCAGUCACACUGGAACUGAGACACGGUCCAGACUCCUACGGGAGGCAGCAGUGGGGAAUAUUGGACAAUGGGCGCAAGCCUGAUCCAGCCAUGCCGCGUGUGUGAAGAAGGCCUUCGGGUUGUAAAGCACUUUAAGUGGGGAGGAAGGGCAGUAAGUUAAUACCUUGCUGUAUUGACGUUACCCACAGAAUAAGCACCGGCUAACUUCGUG